GACGAACGCUGGCGGCGUGCUUAACACAUGCAAGUCGAGCGGAAAGGCCCCUUGUGGGUACUCGAGCGGCGAACGGGUGAGUAACCCGUGAGUAAUCUGCCCUUCACUUCAGGAUAGCUCCCGGAAACGGGGAUUAAUACUGGAUAUGACACAUUCGAGCAUGUGGGUGUGUGGAAAGUUUUUUCGGUGGGGGAUGUGCUCGCGGCCUAUCAGCUUGAGGGUGGGGUAAUGGCCUACCAUGGCUUCGACGGGUAGCCGGCCUGAGAGGGUGACCGGUCACACUGGGACUGAGACACGGCCCAGACUCCUACGGGAGGCAGCAGUGGGGAAUAUUGGACAAUGGGCGGAACCCUGAUCCAGCAACGCCGCGUGAGGGAUGACGGCCUUCGGGUUGUAAACCUCUUUCAGCACAGACGAAGCGCAAGUGACGGUAUGUGCAGAAGAAGGACCGGCCAACUACGUGCCAGCCGCCGCAGUAAGAC
rnacentral:rRNA from 1 species